rnacentral:rRNA from 1 species
CGGGACGGGUGAGUAACGCGUGGGUAACCUACCUCAUACAGGGGGAUAACAGUUGGAAACGGCUGCUAAUACCGCAUAAGCGCACAGUGCUGCAUGGCACAGUGUGAAAAACUCCGGUGGUAUGAGAUGGACCCGCGUCUGAUUAGCUAGUUGGUGGGGUAACGGCCUACCAAGGCGACGAUCAGUAGCCGGCCUGAGAGGGUGAACGGCCACAUUGGGACUGAGACACGGCCCAA